rnacentral:rRNA from 1 species
AUUGAACGCUGGCGGCAUGCUUAACACAUGCCAGUCGAACGGUAACAGGUGUAGCAAUACAUGCUGACGAGUGGCGGACGGGUGAGGAAUGCCUGGGAAUCUGCCUGUUAGUGGGGGACAACCCGGGGAAACUCGGGCUAAUACCGCAUACGCUCUACGGAGGAAAGCGGGGGACCGUAAGGACUCGCGCUUACAGAUGAGCCCAAGACGGAUUAGCUAGUUGGUGGGGUAAAAGCCUACCAAGGCGACGAUCCGUAGCUGGUCUGAGAGGACGAUCAGCCACACUGGAACUGAGACACGGCCCAGACUCCUACGGGAGGCAGCAGUGGGGAAUAUUGGACAAUGGGGGCAACCCUGAUCCAGCAAUGCCGCGUGUGUGAAGAAGGCCUGCGGGUUGUAAAGCACUUUUGGCAGGGAUGAAAAGCACUGGAUUAAUAACCCAGUGUGUUGACCUAACCUGCAGAGGAAGCACCGGCUAACUCUGUG